rnacentral:rRNA from 1 species
AUUGAACGCUGGCGGCAGGCCUAACACAUGCAAGUCGAGCGGAUGAAGGGAGCUUGCUCCUGGAUUCAGCGGCGGACGGGUGAGUAAUGCCUAGGAAUCUGCCUGGUAGUGGGGGAUAACGUCCGGAAACGGGCGCUAAUACCGCAUACGUCCUGAGGGAGAAAGUGGGGGAUCUUCGGACCUCACGCUAUCAGAUGAGCCUAGGUCGGAUUAGCUAGUUGGUGGGGUAAAGGCCUACCAAGGCGACGAUCCGUAACUGGUCUGAGAGGAUGAUCAGUCACACUGGAACUGAGACACGGUCCAGACUCCUACGGGAGGCAGCAGUGGGGAAUAUUGGACAAUGGGCGAAAGCCUGAUCCAGCCAUGCCGCGUGUGUGAAGAAGGUCUUCGGAUUGUAAAGCACUUUAAGUUGGGAGGAAGGGCAGUAAGUUAAUACCUUGCUGUUUUGACGCCACCAACAGAAUAAGCACCGGCUAACUUCGUG